rnacentral:rRNA from 1 species
GAUGAACGCUGGCGGCGUGCCUAAUACAUGCAAGUCGAGCGAACAGAUCAGGAUCUUGCUCCUUUGACGUUAGCGGCGGACGGGUGAGUAACACUUGGUUAACCUAUCUAUAAGACUGGAAUAACUCCGGGAAACCGGGGCUAAUGCCGGAUAACAUGUUGAACCGCAUGGUUCUACAGUGAAAGGCGGCUUUGCUGUCACUUAUAGAUGGACCCGCGCCGUAUUAGCUAGUUGGUGAGGUAACGGCUCACCAAGGCAACGAUUCGUAGCCGACCUGAGAGGGUGAUCGGCCACACUGGAACUGAGACACGGUACAGACUCCUACGGGAGGCAGCAGUAGGGAAUCUUCCGCAAGGGGCGAAAGCCUGACGGAGCAACGCCGCGUGAGGGAUGAAGGACUUCGGAUCGGAAAACUCUGUUAUUAGGGAAGAACAAAUGCGUAAGUAACUGGGAGCGUCUUGACGGUACAUAAUCAGAAAGCCACGGCUAACUACGUG